CCUACGGGUGGCAGCAGUGGGGAAUAUUGCGCAAUGGGCGAAAGCCUGACGCAGCGACGCCGCGUGAGGGAUGAAGGUCUUCGGAUCGUAAACCUCUGUCAGCAGGGAAGAACGGUCACUGUGCUAAUCAGCAGUGAAUUGACGGUACCUGCAAAGGAAGCACCGGCUAACUCCGUGCCAGCAGCCGCGGUAAUACGGAGGGUGGGAGCGUUAAUCGGAAUUACUGGGCGUAAAGGGUGCGCAGGCGGUCCUGCAAGUGUGGAGUGAAACGCAUGAGCUCAACUCAUGCAUGGCGUUGGAACCUGGAGGACUGGAGAGCAGGGGAGGGCGGUGGAACUCCAUGUGUAGCGGUAAAAUGCGUAGCUAUAUGGAAGAACACCAGUGGCGAAGGCGGCCGCCUGGCCUGUUGCUGACGCUGAGGCACGAAAGCGUGGGGAGCAAAUAGAAUUAGAUACCCGUGUAGUC
rnacentral:rRNA from 1 species